rnacentral:rRNA from 1 species
UGGGGAAUAUUGCACAAUGGGGGAAACUCUGAUGCAGCGACGCCGCGUGAGUGAAGAAGGUCUUCGGAUCGUAAAACUCUGUCCUUGGUGACGAAAAAAAUGACGGUACCCAAGGAGGAAGCCCCGGCUAACUACGUGCCAGCAGCCGCGGUAAUACGUAGGGGGCAAGCGUUGUCCGGAAUUAUUGGGCGUAAAGGGCGCGUAGGCGGGCCUUUAAGUCCGGUGUGAAAGAUCAGGGCUCAACCCUGAGAGUGCAUCGGAAACUGGAGGCCUUGAGGACAGGAGAGGAAAGUGGAAUUCCACGUGUAGCGGUGAAAUGCGUAGAUAUGUGGAGGAACACCAGUGGCGAAGGCGACUUUCUGGACUGUAACUGACGCUGAGGCGCGAAAGCGUGGGGAGCAAACA